AACGCGAAGAACCUUACCAGGGCUUGACAUCCCACUGACCGCUUUAGAAAUAAGGCUUUCCCUUCGGGGACAGUGGUGACAGGUGGUGCAUGGUUGUCGUCAGCUCGUGUCGUGAGAUGUUCGGUUAAGUCCGAUAACGAGCGCAACCCUUUUCUCUAAUUGCUAACAUUCAGUUGAGAACCUUAGAGAUACUGCCGGUGACAAACCGGAGGAAGGUGGGGAUGACGUCAAAUCAUCAUGCCCCUUACGUCCUGGGCUACAGGCGUGCUAUAAUGGCAGAUAUAAAAAGUCGCAAAACCGUGAGGUGGAGCUAAUCUGUAAAGUCUGUCUCAGUUCGGAUUGAAGUCUGCAACUCGACUUCAUGAAGCUAGAAUUGCUAGUAAUCGUGGAUCAGAAUGCCACGGUGAAUACGUUCCCGGGUCUUGUACACACCG
rnacentral:rRNA from 1 species